AUGAAGAUUGAACACAAGCUUCACUCACUGCAUACCAGCCGUUUUUCAUAUACACCGAUUUCAAUUCAUACAAUUAUAGUAAGACACAAGUCAAAACUAGGUUUUUCUUUGAGUUUGUCACAUAUCCUUCUUCUCCGUAUUAUAACAACCUUCUUAAAUAUCCAUCAAACUUUCCAAAAUUUGAAACCAAUCACCAUUAGAAUAUCAACACGAAAAGUCAAGAUUUCUACAAAAACUAAACUUGCAAACACCUAA